rnacentral:rRNA from 1 species
UACAGAGGUCUCAAGCGUUUGUUCGGAUUCAUUGGGCGUAAAGGGUGCGUAGGCGGCGCGGUAAGUCGGGUGUGAAAUCUCGGGCUUAACUCCGAAACUGCAUUCGAUACUGCCGUGCUUGAGGACUGGAGAGGAGACUGGAAUUUACGGUGUAGCGGUGAAAUGCGUAGAUAUCGUAAGGAAGACCGUGGCGAAGGCGGGUCUCUGGACAGUUCCU